rnacentral:rRNA from 1 species
UCGGGAAUUUUGGGCAAUGGGCGAAAGCCUGACCCAGCAACGCCGCGUGAGGGAUGAAGUAUUUCGGUAUGUAAACCUCGAAAGAAUGGGAAGAAUAAAUGACGGUACCAUUUAUAAGCUCCGGCUAACUACGUGCCAGCAGCCGCGGUAAUACGUAGGGAGCAAGCGUUGUUCGGCUUUACUGGGCGUAAAGGGCGCGUAGGCGGCGCGGUAAGUCACUUGUGAAAUCUCUGAGCUUAACUCAGAACGGCCAAGUGAUACUGCUGUGCUAGAGUGCGGAAGAGGCAACCGGAAUUCUUGGUGUAGCGGUGAAAUGCGUAGAUAUCAAGAGGAACACCUGAGGCGAAGGCGGGUUGCUGGGCCGACACUGACGCUGAUGCGCGAAAGCCAGGGGAGCAAACG